UGAUGCAAGAGCUGCUUGAUCCUCAGCUUUUCUCCAGGACUAUUGACAUAGGGUACCUUCUCUUCUGGGAGACAGCUAUAAUACUGGUGAACCUAGGGGUCAGAAAACAGACAGCCACAGCAGUUACUUUCCUGACUGGUCCACUCAGACUGCACCAGAAGAUCAGGACGUGGGGACUAACCAUGCCAGCCAGAAAGUCCCUGGAACAAAUCAACACCUGACCAGGCUCUCAACGUUUGUCCGACACCCGUCUGGAAAGGCACCAACGACCCAAGGUUGUCAGAUGAAAGCAUGUAAGUUCUCAGAAACUUCACAAAACCAGUGGCGGCAGGCAUGCUCCUUUAUGCCAGAGUGUGGAAAACAGCAGGACAAAAAGAAAGGGAUCAGAACAAAAUGUUUACUACGGGAUCUCUAGGAGGCCAGGAGAGAUCCUCCUCGCUGUCCUGAUGACAUCAUGGAAAACUCACUCUUCAAGACACCUUUAUCAUCACCCAUGACUCCAGGAAAACAAGCUAAAACGUUCCCGUCAAGUAGAGGCAAAGAGAUUCCUAAGAAGACUCCUAAGAAAAUUUAGGAAAGAAGCAACUGAAGGGAUUCCUGAGACAAAUCGAACAACUUUAGAAAACAAUGAUCAACUGUUUAAAUGUCCAUAGAAAUCCUGCUUGUAUGCCUCAUCACCAUAUCAACAUGGCGUCAGGUCCCAAACUGUCUGGACCAAGCUGGAACAAUUGGAGAUCUGGACCAGGGAUGAGCUCUGUCAGAACAUGACCAGUCUAGCAAGGUUACAAGAGGUUCAUCUCCAGUAGUUGGUCUACUAUGUAAUGACUUUUUGGGGGGGAAAGGGGAAAGCCCACCACUUAGAAAGUCUAUUUAUUAAAGUGUGAAGGGGUAGGGAUCUGCACCAGUGAAAAGAAUAUUCACACAAGUAAACUUGUGGAUAUUUGAAAUACUGAACUAAAAAUUUUAAAUCCAUUAAUAUCUGAUCUCUUAUUGACUACUGAGUCAAGUGCAAAUUUCUUAGUCUGGAACUGGCAAUUUUCCAUCAUCUAUCACUCCUACACUAUUCCCUCCAGGCAUCCCAUGCUCCAGUUUAAACUAGAUUAUUUGUCACACACACACACACACACACACACACACACACACACACACACACACACACACACACCCCUAUACUUUCCUCCCUCCGUGCCUUUGCUUAUGAGUUUCCAAUAACUGGAAUUCUAUCCCUAAGGAGGAGUCAAGAUACCAAUCUUUAUAGGUAAUUUUCCAGGAAUACCAUGAACGUUAGGUCAACAUUCGAUAAUGAGAACAUAAUGAACUUUUCUCUAUGCUAAUGCAAGACAGCAGAGAUGUGAAUAACAGAGCUGGCAAUUCUAAAAUGAUUACUAUUUAUUCUCAGAACCAAUUACAUGACUUUUUUAAAGGAAAAGAAAUAGACCACUAUGUUGUUUUGGCCCACAUUAAGAGUAGAGGGUAUUCUCUGGGCAUCCGUCAACAAAAGGCAGGGUGAGAUGGCCCGGGAUUAUGCUGAGUGGCAGUGGGUGAAGGCCUUGGAUUGUCCACAAAACGGUCACAGGGUCAUUGAGGGGAUCUGGGAUUUAACUGGCAUAACAAACUCUAACCCUCUAACAUUACCGGUUGGAUCCUUCUCUUUUAUGCCAGGAGUACUGAGAGCAAGGUUAGGCUGUAUCAGAAGCGGCACUUGAACUCAGCUCUUUCUGGUUCCAAGGUCAGUUCUUUCUGACAAUCUCACCACACUUUCUCAAAAUGGUCACAGAAAGAUUUAAAGCUGAAGGAGACCUUAGAAAAACCACUGAGUUCAAUCCCCUUGUUUUACAGACAAGGAAACCAAGGUCCAGAGGAGUUAAGUGACUUAGCCAACAAUACACAAGUACUAAGCAGCAGAACUGAGAUUUGGACCCACAUCCUGACUCUGAAUCUAAGCUUCUUCCCAUAACCCCACAUAGCCAUGGAAAUUUGGGGUAAUUGAUGGUAAUCAAUAAAUCCAGAACCACAAUGACCUCAAAGGCCUAACCACCUUACUCCACUGAUGAGGAACUCAAGGAUAGGAGCAGUGCCCAAGGUCCCAUAGGCGGAUAGCAGCAGAGCUGACGGUGACACCUAGUCCUGACUCCAGAGCCACAGCUCUUUCCGCCAUAUAAUCGGUCCCCUUUCUUCUUAUCAUUUCAAGGUGCUGCCUUGUCCAUUCUCACAUACCUGGAAGGGAGUGAGCUGGUAAUCUCUGGCCAGAGGGAAACAGCUUCAGAGAAACAACUUGACUUGCCCCGGAUGUCAAAGGCAAAGGUUCGAUGUGGAUGGAUGAUCUCAGACACCUUCCCAUGUGGACAAGGUGAUUCCACUUCUGGAAUCUAUGCCUUAAAGCAUUCUGCUUGCAAUAUUCUCCUUCUACUCAGAGGAAUGGUGUAGGAGAAAAAAAACCACUGGGCUGGCUUAGCUCAGAAACAAGCUCUGUCUAUCAAGCUUUCUGUGCAUUAUCCAUAAAGGGAUGGGGUUGAAUGAGGUCAGAAGGGUCAAAUAAAUAGCCCUCCUCAACUCUUGAGGGCAGCCCAAACCAGAUUAAAAUGUAAUUGGGAAAUGUUUUCAU